GUGCAGCAGGCGAGAAUAGUCUACAAUGUGCGAAAGCACGAUAAGGGAACUCUGAGUGCCUCCUAAGGAGGCUGUUCUGAUGUCUAAAACGCAACAGAAGUAAGGGCUGGGUAAGACCGGUGCCAGCCGCCGCGGUAACACCGGCAGCCCAAGUGGUAGCCACGUUUAUUGGGUCUAAAGCGUUCGUAGCCGGCCAGGUAAGUUCCUUGGUAAAUUUAGCCGCUUAACGGUUAAGCUUUCAGGGAAUACUGCUUGGCUUGGGACUGGGAGAGGUCAGAGGUACUCCGGGGGUAGGGUGAAAUCUAUUAAUCCCUGGGGGACCACCGGUAGCGAAGGCGUCUGACCAGACCAGGUCCGACGGUGAGGGACGAAGGCUAGGGGCGCGAACCGGAUUAGAUACCCCUGUAGU
rnacentral:rRNA from 1 species